CACACAAAACCAAAACCACCACAAACUUUCAGUUCCCACGUAACUAAUAAGAUUAAAACAAAACCAAAUUAACAUGCAAAACAUACUUCAUGACCAUGAGAUUGGAUUUUUUUAAGGAUUUGUAUCCACAUAAAAGUCAGGAAAUAAAACAUCACAUAACUGUUCUUGUGCACACACAUUUGGAUAGUUUGCAUUCCUGUUCAGAAAAUUUACAGCCCUAGAAACCAAAACUUUUAUGGAAAACUCCAUUUACAAGUUUAAAUGCAUGAUGUGUGUUACAUUAUAUCAUAGAUAACACAUAUUGCUCUGUAUUUUUUUUUUUUUUUUUAAUCCAGGGGAAAAAAAAAAAGAAAAAGGGAAAAAGAAGAUCCUCACUCUAUAGUGAAAGAUUCUGCAUAGAUCAGUCUCUUGUUUUUUAAAAGCAACAUCAGUUGGAUAAAAUGUCCAACACACAGCUGGAUCCACCCACAACACAGUGAGUGAACAAUUGGCUGACAGGCUGGGCUCAAAGGGUUCUACUAAAGGGGGUCACAAUAGGCUGGUGACCAGUCACUAGCGGGGUUCCACAGGGAUCCAUCUUGGGGCCACUACUCUUCAAUGUCUUUACAAAUGAUUUGGAUGUGGGACUUGAUGGAAAGCUACAGUUUCAACAUAGAACAGAACAGGGGAACAGUCUGGAAGAAAUCCACAUGGAUUCAAAAUAGCUGUUGCUGCAUUAAGACUACUGGGUACAAUGCUGCAUGAAGUGUCCCUUGGCAAGGCAUUGGCAGUGGAGGGCUGCAGAGGCGACUUCUCUGAGAUAAGGCCAGGGAUUGCCCCAAGCCAGAGACAACAGGUUCUGCAGAGGACACCAAGCUCAGAGAAGAAACGGGAGAAGAAAGCCCUACAUGGCAAAGCAGGUAUUCCAUGGAACCCAUGGAAAAGCCCAUGGUGGAGCAGUUGGGUAUUUCCUGACAGGAUCUGUGGCCCAUGGAAAGCUCAUGCUGGAGCAGGAUCUUCCUGAAGAGCUGCAACCCAUGGGAAGGACCCACUCUGCAACAGGCAUCCACACUGCAGCUCAUGGACAACUCAUGUGUGAAUGGCAGAGAGGAAUUGUUAUGGACUGAGGGUAAAAAUAGGGUGGUGGGAGCUGUGUUUUGUGUUUAUUUGUGUUUUUUUUUUUAACCACCCUGAUCUGUUUUUAACUGGCAAUAAAUUAUUUUUCACAGAAUUACAGAAUGACUGAGAUUGGAAGGGAUAGUAUGGGCAGAGGUAGUCACAUUUAUACAGUCCCAAAAUUACAUUCAGCCCUUUGAAGACAACUGCAAGGCUGAUGUGGCCCCCAGUGAAAAUGAGUUUGACACCCCUGCUCUCGCAGUUUCCUCAGGUUCCCACCCAUAUGGCUCCCCUCUACCUUGUCUUUACUUGUGAGAAGUGGGCACUUUCAUGCUUCUCAGAGGGAUCCCAGGCAUUCCUCAAGGAUCCUGGACUUUGCCUCCAGAAGAUUCCAAACUAGACCCCAGAGAUUGCCCCACAAACUUCUGUGUCUGUUGGCUUCUCUGUUAGCUUGAAAGUGAUUAGCUACCACAGCUGGUUUUUUCCCAAAGUUCAUUCUGUCUAUGCCAGUAAUUGUUAAGUAAUUUCUUGUUCCUACCUUGACUCACAAGCUUUUUUUCAAUCCUAUUCCCCCCCCCUGCCCUGCUGAAGAUGGGCUGGGUGGG